rnacentral:rRNA from 1 species
CUACGUGCCAGCAGCCGCGGUAAUACGUAGGGUGCGAGCGUUAAUCGGAAUUACUGGGCGUAAAGCGGGCGCAGACGGUUACUUAAGCAGGGUGUGAAAUCCCCGGGCUCAACCUGGGAACUGCGUUCUGAACUGGGUGACUAGAGUGUGUCAGAGGGAGGUAGAAUUCCACGUGUAGCAGUGAAAUGCGUAGAGAUGUGGAGGAAUACCGAUGGCGAAGGCAGCCUCCUGGGAUAACACUGACGUUCAUGCCCGAAAGCGUGGGUAGCAAACAGGAUUAGAUACCCUGGUAGUCCACGCCCUAAACGAUGUCGAUUAGCUGUUGGGCAGCAUGACUGCUUAGUAGCGAAGCUAACGCGUGAAAUCGACCGCCUGGGGAGUACGGUCGCAAGAUUAAAACUCAAAGGAAUUGACGGGGACCCGCACAAGCGGUGGAUGAUGUGGAUUAAUUCGAUGCAACGCGAAGAACCUUACCUGGUCUUGACAU